rnacentral:lncRNA from 1 species
GGCAACCACAUUGGAUGUCUUAAAUCUUUCAAAGGGACUGCAUUCUGGAUGGCUGCAGAGGUUUGCCUCAGUUUCCUCUAAAAUUUACAAGUCUUGCAUUAUUAGCUCUUUAAAAAAAAUGAAAAUAAAGGAAGAGAAAAAAGAAAUGCCUUGUCGAAGCAAUAACCAACCAUCAAUAAUUAGAGAAGUAUCUUAUAAUAUGAAGUCAUUAAUUAAUCCAAUUAUAAGUCUUUGGCUAUGUUGAUAUGCAUCUGUCAGUCGCAUUGGCUUGGCUACAUCUUUCAGAUGUAAGUAUUAGCUUUGGCUAUGUUGGAUUUAUUAUUUACCAUUUGUCUUUGUCCAAUUGGAAUUAUGUGGUUUUCUAUAUUCACAAUUUUGCCCUUUUGGCAUGUGUUUUACACUUUUACUGGUGGUUGAACGUUUUAUUUUGUUUACCUUUGUGGAACUUUAUGUCUAUAUUUUUCUGGAUAGAACUUUGUUUGUAUAUUAUUAACGAUUAUUUGUUCUGCUCAACAUAAUCAAACAGUAUGCACUCUUGUGCUGACAGCUCUUUAUUGUGCACCGUUUAGCUAUCCAUUUGUUUCUAUUACCAGUGUAAGUUCUCACUUUUUACCAUUAUCUUUCUGUACCAACACUUGAUAAGUAUUAAGGGGAACCUACAUGGUGUGUGACAUUUUCAUAUUGUUUCUUUUCUAUUUCAUUAAUAGUGGAGAUUUGUCCUAAAGAAAUGGAGUCUUUCAGCAAAUUUAAAAUACUUCAUUAUGAGUCAAAUUAUCUAAGUAAAUUCCUCAGGCAUUUUUUGUAUGGGGUUUUGUUCCUCAAUUGGAGUGUUUUGAUUAAGAUUAAUCUUCCUGUCACGACAGAUGCAUGUACUGGUUAGGAUUGCCAGGGGUAAACCUCUUCCAUGGGUAAUUCCUUGUCACAAAAUGCCCACGGUUUUAUCCUCAAAUUGUUAAAGUUAAUACAGCUAAUAGACCUCCAACUGCUAAACUGUUGGACCGUCUAUUUGUGAAGAUGCCUCUAUCAACCUUUCCAAGCCUUGCAUCUACACACUAGGUUGGAAUUCGGUCGUAAAGCAUUUUUUCAUCCUUACAUGGUUGCACAAAUUGAGGUGAUAUUAUACACUCGUUUGAAUUAGUUUCAAGUGUAAAAUGUAAUGUGUCAAUUAUCACAUUAUUCAUGUGGUAGAUGGCAAAAGGCUGUAGGAGCUAAGCGGUUUUGGAUGAAGAUGCCUGUACCACAUAUUAUUAUGGUAAACUACAUAAUCGUAUUGUACAUUUAGGAUUGGUUCAUACAAUUUCUCACCUUACUAUCACUUAAAUUAGUAGUAAUAUACCUGAUGCAACUUUUCAUUGUACAUGUCUAAUGUACUACCCUAUCUUACCAAAGAUGGAAUACCCUCUGCUAUGUAUCUUAAACAAAUUUUUUGUGCAAUUACUUUAUCGUAUAAGAUCAUACAGUAAGAUCGCUGAUUGGUCACUCUUGGUGCGAUGUUUGUCUCUCUUUUGCACUACCUAUAUUUAGCUGCUUAAUUUGAAGAACUGGUUAAUACUCUUGUUACUAGUAUAAUAUCUUCACUCCUGUUGCUUUUAUACCUCAUUGCAUGAUGCCGGUAUAUGUUUUCUCAUUCUCAUUUAGUCUUGUUUUAAUAAAACUCUUGCUGGAAUUUAACUGGGCAUUCAUCAUACAGAUGUACAGAGAUGUUUGUAUUUGCAUGAACUUUCAAAUGGCGAAAGAACUGGGUAUUGAACGAGAACACAGAGCAUCUGUUUAUUAGGAUCACCUGAUAAGAAAUUUCGGGAUUGGAGAGCAAGCUGGUUGCUAACACCAUCUUCUUGGUUGAACUUGGCUGUAUAAUUUGUUCUAAAAUGUAUUAUAUUAUAUAGCUCGAGUUGGAUUCGGCCUUUUCUUAUGAUUCUUUGUACUAGUAAAUUGUAUAUAUAUCAAGUGAUCUGAAUAUAGCUUAGUUCUUAAAAGAAAAACACAAGAUUCCACAAGGUUGUAAGUUGUAAUGAUAGGGUG